rnacentral:rRNA from 1 species
GUGGGGAAUAUUCCGCAAUGGACGAAAGUCUGACGGAGCAACGCCGCGUGAGUGAUGAAGGUUUUCGGACUGUAAAGCUCUGUUGUUUAGGACGAAAGUGCCUGUUGCGAACAGUUACAGGUAUUGACGGUACUAAACGAGGAAGCCACGGCUAACUACGUGCCAGCAGCCGCGGUAAUACGUAGGUGGCAAGCGUUGUCCGGAAUUAUUGGGCGUAAAGAGCAUGUAGGCGGAGAUUUAAGUCUGUUGUGAAAAUGCGGGGCUCAACCCCGUAUUGCGAUGGAAACUGGGUUUCUUGAGUGCAGGAGAGGAAAGGGGAAUUCCCAGUGUAGCGGUGAAAUGCGUAGAUAUUGGGAGGAACACCAGUGGCGAAGGCGCCUUUCUGGACUGUGUCUGACGCUGAGAUGCGAAAGCCAGGGUAGCGAACGGGAUUAGAAACCCCGGUAGUCC